GCAUCAUCAAUUUAAAUAAAAAUUCUAAAAUUGCUAUAGUUUUAUUUAAGAAAAUCUACCAACAUAUUUCACAGCAUUUAAAUAUACAUUUUUCUUUAAAGAAGAUUAAAUCAAUAGAACUAAAGUUGAAACUCUCUUUUCCUAAAGCAAGUAUAGUAACGACUUCAGUAAUCCUGCCUUCUUUCUUUAAAUCUAUAGGCAAUCUAUAUAUACUUAUUUUUUAAAAGGGUUAGAAGAACAAGAUAUUACUGUUCCUGUUUGGGAAUCAAUCAGUUGGUCCUGAAUGUCCCUAUAAGAAAGGCAGCCAGCUUUGGUGUGAGUCCCUGAGUCUGGCACCAAUUUACUGUCCUUAAUUAAAACACUUAUGGCAUAGCAGCUAUACUGAUAAUUUGGCUUGCAUGAAAACUGAUGACCAUGUAGUAGCAAGUUGUACAUCCCAUUAACAGCAUUAAAAAAAUUAGUGAUUGGCAUUUAGCCUAAAAUUAGAAAUUUCAAAAUGCUAUGACAGUAACGUCAUACUACAAAAUUCUAAAUUCUGAUUAUUAUUAAUUUUUUUCAGUAUGUGAACUGCCAUUUUCUUAGCAAUCAUAUUUCUCUAAUAAAAGUGAAAGGGGUGCAAAACAUUAAGAAUUAGACAUCAUUAAAUGAGAACAGCAAAAACCUCAUAAUAUUAGGUCAUGACUGAACUGGUUCCUACAUUGUAGGAAGUUAUUUUAAAUUCUUUUUAUUUUAUAAACAUAACAAAAUCUUUCCCUGAAGCAGAACUCCCAUUUCCAUAAUUCUAGAUUUUAUAGGAUCAAAUAAUAAGAUGUGUUUUAACGAUAACCAUAAUUUAAAAUAAUUAAGCUAUAACAAAUUGUAAACUACAAAUAAACUUUUUUUUAACUCCAGAAAGUUGUAGAAUUGAAGUUCCUUAAGAACUGAGAAUAAAAUGACAUGAAUAUAAUAAAAUAUAUAUAUGCAAAGUAGAGUACUGAAAAGGGAGUACAGAAUGCUUCUUAUUGUAAAGCCAAUAUAUUAAAAAUCGGCAUGAGAUUUCCCUGCCCUCUCGUUGGUAGUUUAUUGCUGCUAUAAAUAAAUAAGGUUGACAUAAGGCAUUCACCAACAUAAUAGAAGAAUCCGAAUUCAAUACUUAGAA
rnacentral:lncRNA from 1 species